rnacentral:rRNA from 1 species
AUUGAACGCUGGCGGCAGGCCUAACACAUGCAAGUCGAGCGGUAGCAGGCCUUCGGGCGCUGACGAGCGGCGGACGGGUGAGGAACACGUAGGAAUUUGCCUGGUAGUGGGGGAUAGCCCAGAGAAAUUUGGAGUAAUACCGCAUAUGCCCUGAGGGGGAAAGUGGGGGACCGCAAGGCCUCACGCUAUUAGAGAAGCCUGCGUCGGAUUAGCUAGUUGGUAGGGUAAAGGCCUACCAAGGCGACGAUCCGUAGCUGGUCUGAGAGGAUGAUCAGCCACACUGGGACUGAGACACGGCCCAGACUCCUACGGGAGGCAGCAGUGGGGAAUAUUGGACAAUGGGCGAAAGCCUGAUCCAGCCAUGCCGCGUGUGUGAAGAAGGCCUC